CGUCGGCUCUCUCUUCCGCCGGCGACGUUCUCCCCGAUCACACCUGCCCCUGUGAGAGUCGGAGAAGACGAGCCCCCUCCAUCCUGGGAUAUAGUUCCUGAUCGGAGGGAGACGACUUGAUGUCGUAAUGUUGUUUCGAUGUCAAGCUCAUAUGAUGAGAGAUGCUAGAUGAAGAUUGAAGUUGCUUUGUUCAAUAUUCUGUAUUGACUUUU